AACGCGAAGAACCUUACCAAAUCUUGACAUCCCGAUGACAGGCUGUGUAAAGCAGCUUCUCUUCGGAGCAUCGGUGACAGGUGGUGCAUGGUUGUCGUCAGCUCGUGUCGUGAGAUGUUGGGUUAAGUCCCGCAACGAGCGCAACCCUUGUCUUUAGUAGCCAGCAUUUUUAGAUGGGCACUCUAGAGAGACUGCCAGGGAUAACCUGGAGGAAGGUGGGGAUGACGUCAAAUCAUCAUGCCCCUUAUGAUUUGGGCUACACACGUGCUACAAUGGCGUAAACAAAGAGAAGCAAAGGAGUGAUCCGGAGCAAAUCUCAAAAAUAACGUCUCAGUUCGGAUUGUAGUCUGCAACUCGACUACAUGAAGCUGGAAUCGCUAGUAAUCGCGAAUCAGAAUGUCGCGGUGAAUACGUUCCCGGGUCUUGUACACACGC
rnacentral:rRNA from 1 species